AGAGUGUGCCAACAGCUUAGAUAUAGAGUGUGAGAGAGAAGAGUGGAGGCUGGUUCUCAGGCUCCAGAAGCAUAAGCCUGCAUGGAGCAUAGCGUCACUGAGCAAGACAGGUGUGGAGGAUGAGAAGCGGGCCACAGGAUGGGAAGGGAAUCUGUGUGGAGGCGGUGCCCUAAACAUGCUGCCUUGAGGAGGGACCUCUACAUGGGGUGGCCGGGCACAGCCAGUUGCACAGGGUACCUCAGACCCACAUCCCAGAUGACAUUCCUCAGAAGCUCGCAGCUGGAGAUGACAUCACCUUAGACAACAUCACCCUAGCCCAAGACAUCGCUAUUAGAGAUACAUCACCUGGACACUAAAGCCUCCAACCCAGUGACACUCUCAAGGUGCUGACAAAAUGGACAUGGACAUUUGUUGCUUUUCUUCUUUUGAAUUAGGAACUCUAUUGUGUUUCCUGAAUUUACUGUCUGCUUGGCCCAUGAUCCUGGUAUGUUCCUUGCUCUCUGCCAAAACAUGCACCGUCCCCUCCACACCUAAAGGAAAACCUGGUAGAAGCUACUACUCUCAAUGCCAUUCUAAAAUUGACGAAGAGUAUUAUUUUCCCCAAGAGGCAGCUGCUGCAGGCCAGUGAAUCCUCUGGACCCUGGGGAGAGGGUCAUACACUCCCUAGUGACUUCUACUGUAUGCUCCAGCUUUCCACCAGGACCUCCUGCCCUGUCCCCAACUGUAACGACCACAACCACCCCAUCCCCUUGGUUACACACAAAUAUCACCAGUCUUUACAUGUACUUUACUGACUUCUCAGAUAAUACCCUCCAACAAGAUAACUGCAGGACUUGCCACCAUGACCUGAGAAAUACACCAAGAUAUUAUUGUCCAAUUUUUUUGAGAUAUAUAUAUAUUUCUCAUACUUUUAACAUACUCUGCAAUCCACCAAGAUAUUGGUAGAGACCCUGGAAAUUUCAAAUCUAUUUCGUCUGCUAAUGCCAUGUGAAUGGGAAACUUAGAUACAGGCUGGCCUACAAGGACUCCUUAUACUUCAAUUUUUGUUCCUCCUUUCAACUCUCAUAAAAAAUAUUUUCUGUACUAUUUAGGGCAAAUGAUGGCCUUCUUUCUAAGUCUCAUCCAUCAUUGCUGCAAAGGUGCCUUAGUUUGAUGUUAAAGUGUCACAGGGCCAAUGUAUUGACCAUGUUUCUGGCGUCUAUAAAGUCGA
rnacentral:lncRNA from 1 species